rnacentral:rRNA from 1 species
CCUAAGGUAGCGAAAUUCCUUGUCGGGUAAGUUCCGACCUGCACGAAUGGCGUAAUGAUGGCCACGCUGUCUCCACCCGAGACUCAGUGAAAUUGAAAUCGCUGUGAAGAUGCAGUGUACCCGCGGCUAGACGGAAAGACCCCGUGAACCUUUACUACAGCUUGGCACUGAACAUUGAACCUACAUGUGUAGGAUAGGUGGGAGGCUAUGAAGACGUGACGCCAGUUGCGUUGGAGCCGUCCUUGAAAUACCACCCUUGUAUGUUUGAUGUUCUAACUUAGACCCAUUAUCUGGGUUGAGGACAGUGCCUGGUGGGUAGUUUGACUGGGGCGGUCUCCUCCCAAAGAGUAACGGAGGAGCACGAAGGUGGGCUAAUCACGGUUGGACAUCGUGAGGUUAGUGCAAUGGCAUAAGCCCGCUUAACUGCGAGAAUGACGGUUCGAGCAGGUGCGAAAGCAGGUCAUAGUGAUCCGGUGGUUCUGUAUGGAAGGGCCAUCGCUCAACGGAUAAAAGGUACUCCGGGGAUAACAGGCUGAUACCGCCCAAGAGUUCAUAUCGACGGCGGU